UGCAUUAAUGGAUGAGAUUAACAACAAGAUUGAAGAGGAGAAGCUAGUAAAGGCCAAUAUUACCCUUUGGGAAGCCAAUAUGAUCAAGGCCUACAAUGCAUCAUUCUCUGAAAAUAGCACUGGACCACCCUUUUUUGUUCACCCUGCAGAUGUACCUCGAGGACCUUGCUGGGAAACAAUGGUGGGACAGGAGUUUGUGAGGCUGACAGUCUCUGAUGUUCUGACCACCUACGUCACAAUCCUCAUUGGGGACUUUCUAAGGGCAUGUUUUGUGAGGUUUUGCAAUUAUUGCUGGUGCUGGGACUUGGAGUAUGGAUAUCCUUCAUACACGGAAUUCGACAUCAGUGGCAAUGUCCUCGCUCUGAUCUUCAACCAAGGCAUGAUCUGAUCUGUCCUGAAUUAUUAAACCUUUGGGUGCUGACAGACACCGGACCCCUCUGCAAAUGCUAAAACCGUCUUGCUUCUGUCACACGAAGACCACCCUCCAGGGUUCCAUCGUCCUGCCAUGGGAUGACUGUUAAAUUCCUGUGCCUGACUAGGUGAAUCAAUACGGAAAAGAUAUUAUAAAAAUAUUGUUUCCUCCUUUGUCAGGAAGAAAAGAAUUUUAUAAGGCUAAAGUGUUACAAUGAUUUUUACUGACAGAUGAUGGGAUCAUGCCUGGGAUGGGCUCCUUCUUUGCUCCCAGCCUCCCAGGCAUCAAUAUCCUUCGACUCCAUACAUCCAUGUACUUCCAGUGCUGGGCCGUUAUGUGCUGCAAUGUUCCUGAGGCCAGGGUCUUCAAAGCUUCCAGAUCGAAUAACUUCUACCUGGGCAUGCUACUGCUCAUCCUCUUCCUGUCCACCAUGCCUGUCUUGUACAUGAUCGUGUCCCUCCCACCAUCUUUUGACUGUGGUCCCUUCAGUGGCAAAAAUAGAAUGUUUGAAGUCAUUGGAGAGACCCUGGAGCAUGAUUUCCCAAGCUGGAUGGCGAAGAUCUUGAGACAGCUUUCGAACCCUGGGCUGGUCAUUGCUGUCAUUUUGGUGAUGGUUUUGGCCAUCUAUUAUCUCAAUGCUACUGCCAAGGGCCAGAAGGCAGCAAAUCUGGAUCUAAAAAAGAAGAUGAAAAUGCAAGCUUUGGAGAACAAAAUGCGAAACAAGAAAAUGGCAGCUGCACGAGCAGCUGCAGCUGCUGGUGGCCAGUAAUAAGUAUCCUGAGAGCCCAGAAAAGGUACAUUUUGCCUUGCUGUUUAAAAGUAAUGCAAUAUGUGAACACCCAGAGAACAAGCACUGUGGAACUGCUAUUUUCCUGCUCUACCCUUGAUGGAUUUUCAAGGUCAUGCUGGCCAAUUAAGGCAUCAUCAGUCCUGCCUGAGCGACAGGAAUCUAAACCUUAUUCCAAGUCAGAAACUAUUUCUGCGCAGCCACUCUCUCCCCUGCUCCAUUUCAUGACUUUUUUUUUUUUUUGAACAAAUUGAGUUUAGAAGUGAGUAUAAUCCAGCAAUACAGUAUACUGGUUUAGUUGGUAGGUUAAAUAAAAAAAUUUUUUUCAU
rnacentral:sRNA from 1 species